GGCCCGGUGGUGUAGCGGUUAACACACCACUGGUGUUCCAGAAGGAGCGCGGGUUCGAAUCCCGCAGGGCUU
rnacentral:tRNA from 1 species